GAUGAAGAACGCAGCGAAAUGCGAUACUUGGUGUGAAUUGCAGAAUCCCGUGAACCAUCGAGUCUUUGAACGCAAGUUGCGCCCGAAGCCACUAGGCCGAGGGCACGCCUGCCUGGGCGUCACACGCCGUUGUCCCCCCAUCUACUCCUUCGGGAUUGCGGGGGGGCGGAUGAUGGCCUCCCGUGCGCCUAGCCGCGCGGUUGGCAUAAAUACCAAGUCCUCGGCGACGCACGCCACGACAAUCGGUGGUUGCGAAACCUCGGUUGCCCGUCGUGUGCGUUCGUCGCGCAUCGAGGGCUCGAAAAAAUGCUCGGCUCCGGCUGGGCUUUCAACGCGACCCCAGGUCAGGCGGGGUUACCCGCUGAAUUUAAGCAUAUCAAUAAGCGGAGGA
rnacentral:misc_RNA from 1 species